UGGUCACAUGAGGUACAGUGUG
rnacentral:miRNA from 1 species